GGUCUUCAAAACCCGACCCAUCGCCCCUAUAUUGGGGGUGUCGGGCUUCGGCCCGACUAUGGAGAUAAACGCGCACGUAAUAAGCGGACUGGACCCGGGUGCGAUUCCCGGCGGCUCCACCAAUCUUCCCCCGGGGUUAUCGCCGGAAAGUGCGGGGCCGAUCAGCAUCGACAGACGUGUAAAGGUGUUGCUUUCUCUCGGCGUGGCUCACCGUUUCGGGCCUUUAAACUAAAUGCGAACGAUAACUUCGCUGAAGAAGUCCGUUUGGCCGCGUAAGCGGUUCGAUAGAUUUCGACAUAAACUCCUAGCGUCUUAGCAGCGUUAGGCGGGGCUCGGAGGGGGCCUUGCAACAGAACCCCUCCACU
rnacentral:tmRNA from 1 species